UAACAUAUGGACGGCGUGAUUGCCGUCUCUCUGUGCUGUUGCUGGAGAGGCCCUGAACUCGCCGAGUCUCCAACACAACCCUAACUCUUUAGUCUCCUCCAUCUCCUGCCUCUCCUGUUUCGUCGCCCUCCUCCCCUUUCUUCUCCUCUCGUCUCCCCUCCUUUCUCGUGAUCUUCUCUCUUCGUUUCUCCUAUUACACGCUGAGGGACUCGCUUGGGAUCUUGCUAUGCCCUAACUCUUUCGUCGGUCACACGCUGCUGCCUCGGCCAUCCGUUUUCUUCGUUGGGAUAUGCAUUAGGGGUUUUGUUUGCACUGCUCCCACUCUCUUCCCUCGGUCGCCCACUGCUGCCUCCGCCUUCCCUCUUCCUCGUUGCACACCGUAGCCGUCAAAGAACUGCGAAGGGGUGGUUGUAGACGAAGUAAAGCAGCAUGGUGCAAUUUAAAAAUAGAUAUAUGGUGAUGGAAAUUUUUAUUGAUGGAGAAAAAGAAUUGGUUGGUGGUGACCCAAAAAAGAUUCUUAGCUCAAACAAUGUCUCCAGAGCAAUUAAGGAUAGCAUUCAGUUGAAUUUUGGGGAAUGUGGUCUUGCCCUAUCACUUGGAUCAUUUCAAGUGAAAUAUCUCAAUGCCUUGACAAAGAUAUGCAUCAUCCGAACAUCUCAUGUGGAUCACCGAAAAGUUUGGUCUGCUAUAACAAUGAUAAGGAGCAUUGGGAAUUGCCCAGCUAUGUUUAAUUUACUUGAUUUGAGCGGAAGCAUCAGAACCUGUAAAACAGCAGCCUUGAAGUGUGAGGAAAUGAAGUUUGAACAAUACAUAGUGGCUGCUGGAGAUCACUGUCCACAGGAUAUCACUGAUAUUAUGAAGGAAAGCAUAGACAAAAUCAAUGCCUUGGAGAGCUAACAAAAGGUCAGCUGCAGAUCCUUCCUAUCUAGUUCUCCCUUCACUGUGUUCGAUAGUCAAGGCAAUAUAUUCAGAUAUAACUGAGCCCUUCCCAUCUGUCAAAUUUUCUUCCCUUUUUCUUCUGAUUUUUGUGUAGCAUACUUGGGUCUAUAUUAUUUUCUUUCAUAAUUCUCCAUCCGAGGGACUACAAAAUGGAGUUAGAAAUUAUCACUGUGUAGCUUUAACUGGCUCAUCAAGACCUAUCUUUAGCCAUUUAUGCUGAAAUUGAUAGCAAAAUGAUAGUAAGUAUUUAUGCAAUUUUCAGCAGUUGCUUGAGGUUUCUUGAAA